GUCUCACCAUGUAGCCCAGGCUAGCCUCAUACUUGUUACCUCCCUGUGUCAGUCUUCCAGGUACUGGACUACAGGCGUGUGUACUAGAUCUGGCUGUAAUACACCCUUUACGUGAGGAAGCACAUGAAGCAAGGCAGAGGGAAAGGAGGAGGCUGAACAGAGAAGGUCAAAAGAUAAAGGACUAGGGUGGGGAGCACUAAAGGAAAAAAGGACUCAGAGGGGCAGCCAUGAGUGAUCCAGUGGGGAGCAUUGCAGAAAAAGAGGAGAGUCCUAGAAAGCAGGGAAGACAGCUGUGCUAACAGCAGGGCAGGAGGAAGUAAGGAGGUGAGGGCAUCUGGGCAGGACCACAAGAGUCUGAAGUCCGGUGAGUCUGCUGUCCUCACACGCAUGCCCAGGCCUGGCACUCUUGCUUACUCUGUGUUUUUGCUUCCUGUUUCCUCAAGUGGGUCAGGACACUGCAGAGGCACAGAGUGGCUUCUAGACAGCGCUUUCUGAGUGGGCAGGGUGGGCUCACGCAGAUGGUUCACAGGAUGGACAGGGAUAGAUGUGGCCACAGAAAAAGCCAUGUGGAAACCUCCUGUGGAUACUCCUCAGCCCGGACCAGCUCCACGAGUAUGGCAGCUGAGCCUGGGCCCCUGAAGACGUGGAACAGAGCCCUGACUGUGGGGUGUGCGCCAAGCCACAGUGGGCAGCUCUGAAGGGAGAGGAAGGGUCUGGCAGGGGGGUACAGUUCAUAUCCAUCCC
rnacentral:lncRNA from 1 species